rnacentral:rRNA from 1 species
UACGUAGGGCGCAAGCGUUGUCCGGAAUUAUUGGGCGUAAAGAGCUCGUAGGCGGCUUGUCACGUCGGGUGUGAAAGCCCGGGGCUUAACCCCGGGUCUGCAUUCGAUACGGGCAGACUAGAGGCAGGUAGGGGAGAAUGGAAUUCCCGGUGUAGCGGUGAAAUGCGCAGAUAUCGGGAGGAACACCGGUGGCGAAGGCGGUUCUCUGGGCCUGACCUGACGCUGAGGAGCGAAAGCGUGGGGAGCGAACAGG